rnacentral:misc_RNA from 1 species
AACGCACCUUGCGCUCCUUGGUAUUCCGAGGAGCAUGCCUGUUUGAGUGUCAUUAAAUUCUCAACCUCACCAGCUUUGUCUGUGUGAAGGCUUGGAUGUGGAGGUUUCUGCAGGCUGCCUCAGCGCGGUCUGCUCCUCUGAAAUGCAUUAGCGAGUUUCACUAAGCUCCGUCUAUUGGUGUGAUAAUUAUCUACGCCGUGGAAGGGGUUUAGACUUGCUUCUAACCGUCCGCAAGGACAGCACUUUGACAAUUUGACCUCAAAUCAGGUAGGACUACCCGCUGAACUUAA